CCCUUAGAUGUUCUGGGCCGCACGCGCGCUACACUGAUGCAUUCAACGAGUCUAAAACCUGCUCUGAUAGGGGUGGGUAAUCUUUUGAAUGUGCAUCGUGAUUGGGAUAGAUGAUUGCAAUUUUUCAUCUUCAACGAGGAAUGCCUAGUAAACGCAAGUCAUCAGCCUGCAUUGAUUACGUCCCUGCCCUUUGUACACACCGCCCGUCGCUCCUACCGAUUGAAUGAUCCGAUGAAUAUCAUGGAUUGAGGAUGUAAGCAGGUUCGCCUGUCUUCAUCUUCGAGAAGUGAAGUAAAUCUUAUCAUUUAGAGGAAGGAGAAGUCGUAACA
rnacentral:rRNA from 1 species